rnacentral:rRNA from 1 species
GUAAUCACUUGUUCUUUAAUUGAGGACUAGUAUGAAUGGCCCCACGAGGACUACACUGUCUCCUUUCUCUAAUCAAUGAAACUGAUCUCCCCGUGAAGAAGCGGGGAUAAACCUAUAAGACGAGAAGACCCUAUGGAGCUUUAAACAACAGAAAUAUUUGCUUCUUUCCUACCAUUUUCUGAAAACUAAAUUAAUUCAAGCAUUUUAUCUCCCAGUUUUAGGUUGGGGUGACCACGGAGAAAAAAUAAACCUCCAUGUUGAAAGAAGCCUUCCGCCUUCUAAGCAAAAAGACACAACUUUAUGCAUCAACACAUUGACUCCCAUUGACCCAAUAAUUUGAUCAACGAAACAAGUUACCCUAGGGAUAACAGCGCAAUCUACUUUGAGAGCUCAUAUCGACAAGUAGGUUUACGACCUCGAUGUUG